rnacentral:lncRNA from 10 species
GGAGCCUUGAACUCAUGCCUUCUGACUCUGAUCCUGCUCCAAAUCUUGAGGAAAUAUGCAGAUUCCUGACAGCAGCAGAAUCUUUCAGAAAGGAGUCUCAGAAAACUUUAUUAGAACCAACUGGAAAGUAAGCUGGAAGGUUCUCAACUUAGAAUAUAACGCUCCUUUCUUACCUCCAUGCUGAGACUAUUCAAGAGACAAGUGGCAUAACACAAGAGCCACAGGAUUCGACUAGAGAGACUUAAUAUGUUUUGCCUGAAACAAGGAAAUCUCCGAAAGAGAGAAGAACAUGCACUCUGAUUAUAAAAUACCUUCAAGGAACAAAAUGUAAUGGAGGAAGGAAAUUAUUCUAAAUCUCCACGUAGACAUGGAAAUGGCCUAUAGAUAAGGAAGAUAACAUUUGAAGUAGAUAUUAAUAAAAAAGUUCUUACACAUCAGAAAUUCUGAACACUUGAGAUGGCUGUACUCAAGAAAAAAAGGCCCCACCAGAAGUAUUUGUGCAUUCAUACCCAGCUGGGGAUAAGAGUGGGGAUAUUAAUAACCCUUAAUACUGGUGACUAUUUUAAUAGUGUUCUCACCAGGAAAUACAAAUGGGAUCAUUAGGGAAUGAGAACUCAAGGAAACAGUCGUACAAUAGACUUCUGUAUCUGAGGAGAGAAUUUAUAGGUCAUGGUAAAGCUUCUAGCAGUGUUUAAUCAUAGUACAAGAUUGGAGAUAGAAAGUGAACUUUCCGGCUGGGGGAGGGGUGGCUCACACCUGUAAUCUCAGCACUUUGGGAGGCUGAGGCGGGUGGUGGAUUACCUGAGGUCAGGAAUUUGAGACCAGCCUGGCCAACAUAGUAAAACCCUGCCUCUACUAAAAAUACAAAAAAUUAGCUGGGUGUGAUGGUGGAUGCCUGUAAUCCCAGCUACUAUGGAGGCUGAGGCAGGAGAAUCACUUG